rnacentral:misc_RNA from 1 species
GCAGAAAGUAGUUCAUGAUCUCCCAUAAUCUCAUCGAUUAAUUCUUUUAAUGGCUUCUCCGCGCUGUUUGGAACAAGAGCAGCAAAGACGGGGUCUUCAAGUCCACUUUCUUCAAAUGCGUCAAGAAACAUCAUCAUCUCCUCUCCGGUAAGGCCAGACAGGAAGCAAAUUCGCGGAAGCUGUUUAGCAAUCUUUGAAGCAUCUAAAUUGGUCUGUUUUGUGUUCACUGCUUCCCAAAGUGAGCGAGAAAUCAUGUCUUCCGUACAAAAGAUGACCUGGAG